GACGAGAAGAGCGAGCGGUUAUGAUCCUUGCUGGGCGUAAAGUGUGUGUGGGUGGUUUUUCAUGCGAUCAUUUGGUAAAGACUGGCAUAUUGUCUUUAAAUCAAAUGUUGUCGGAAAACUAGAGAUUUUGUGGGGGUGUUGGGAACGGUCUGUGUAGGGGGUAACAUCCAUAUAAACAGACAGGACCACCAGAGGCGCAGGCGCGACACCAACUAUGAAUCUGACGCUGAGGCACGAAAGCGGGAAAAGUAAAACCGGAUUAGGAAA
rnacentral:rRNA from 1 species